UACGGGGGGGGCAAGCGUUGUUCGGAAUUACUGGGCGUAAAGGGUUUGUAGGUGGCUUGCUAAGUCAGACGUGAAAUCCCUCAGCUUAACUGGGGAACUGCGUCUGAUACUGGUGAGCUUGAGUGCAGGAGAGGAACGCGGAAUUCCAGGUGUAGCGGUGAAAUGCGUAGAUAUCUGGAGGAACACCGGUGGCGAAGGCGGCGUUCUGGACUGCAACUGACGCUGAUAAACGAAAGCCAGGGUAGCAAACGGG
rnacentral:rRNA from 1 species